CAGCAACCAGGCAAGCUUCCAAUAUUUUAAAGAUGAGUAACUGAGGCUCAGAGAGAGGACACUGCCUGCCUGGAGUCACACCAAGGUGAGUGCCAGAGGAGCGAUGGAGUGGCCACCAAAUGCCUCCCACUGAUGCUCCUUGCUCACACCUACUAGCUGUAAUCCCCAUUCAGGCUCCUUUGUCUGCUUCCUCCUCUGUGAAUAGGGCAGUGACAGUCGCCACCCCCCCCCCAUGGUACCUGAGUUAUAGAAAAUGCUCAUCACAGUAUGUGGCACUUAGCAAGGGUUUGAUCAAAGUCACCUUUACACCGUGCAUCUUGACAGUCCUAAACACUGUCACCAUGUAGAUGGUGUGCACCUGACGUUAUGUGUUGAACUUGAGCUUAUUUUGUGCUCCGCAGUGCAAAAGAUUUAUUUUGCAAUGCAAAUUAGACAGUAAUCCAAUCUUCAAUUGGCAAAGAUGUUAGUGCUGGUGAGUGUGUGGGGACACAGGAAAGAGAUGGGCAGAGUCACCCUUCACACAGUUAAUAGCAGGGGUACCCUCACUCCCCCGGGGGAGGAAUGCAAGGUGGGCUGCGCUGUCCUCUGCCACUGGGGGCAUGAAACUUGGCUUCCACCUUGGGAAGACCAACUUUGGAGUUGCACAUUAGAUGCUACAGAAAUCCUUUAGGGAUUUCGACCCCACAGUAGGCAUUCUUCAGAGAGUGGCAUUAAAAUGCAGGAAAGAAACUAAAAAAAGUCUCAUAGUUGUGUGGUCAGAUGGGGAGGAGGAGGUUUCAACUGUUCUUGGUUGCACAGUCAAUAAAAGAGUGACCUCUGAAAAGUGAACACAUUAAAAGCCAGCCUGCUGACCCUCUGGGGGUGACUCACAAACCCUCUCAAACUUACCUGCCCACCCUGCACUCAGGAUUCCAUUUCACCCUAUGACGCUUAUUGCUCCCUGCCCACCCUUUGGAUCCUUUUCAAUUGGCCCUGAAAGGAAGAUGAGCACUCUCUCCUCACAGGGCUGAUGUGUGCAAUAAGAGACAGACUUCACCUUAACGGGUUAGCUCAUAAGAAGUGGUGCUCAAGAACAGUAGCUCUUCUUGGGGAGAGUCUUCUUGGACCAGAUUCCUUUGGUAUUGGUUUGGUACUAAGGCAUAAUAAGGAUGUCUUGGGUAAGUCCUCUGAACCGCAGGUUUAUCACUUGUAAAGUGGGAGUAAUGAAGGUUGCUCAGAGUAUUCAUUGAGGAUAUAUGUAUUGCCCUUAGCAUGUCGCCUGUCACAUAGUAAGUUUUUAGCACCACAAAUGGUAGCUGUGAGUUCCUGCUAGAAUUGUUACAUCUUGGUUCCUCUCUGGGAGGUGGCUUCCUUCCACUAACCACCAUCUUUGUUGCCACCCGCUGGCCUGAUUGCUCAAGUGUGCCUGCCUCUGGGUCCAGCACUACGUUCCAGUCCCCUCCCUCUAGCAGGUGCGACGGUGAUAGACUCACUGUGAAUAGGCCUUCUGUGCUUGCCUGGGCUUGUUGGCUGGGGCUGUGUGCUGCCCUCGUUUUGCAGCUGAGGACACCGCCCUAGGACUGGGAUGUCUUGUGCAGAGUGGCGGCUCCAGGGCCUCCACCCCACUGUUGACUUUGGCAUGGAGGACUCUGGGGGAGUUCAGAGCAGCACAGAAAAAACAGUGCGGCUCUUGCCAAUUUCCUUGAGCUCUGAGGGAAAGAAACAGAAAAGCGUAACACGAGGAACAACAUGAAAAUGGGAUUGGAAGUUGCUGGAAGCCUUUGGGGCGUGCUCCAGGAGCCACAAGCUGUUCCUGUUUGGCUGCCUGGGGCUUCCUACUCUGUUGGAUGAGAGGAGGUGAGAUCUCACUGUCAGAGGGGUGGAGGCCGGUCCCUGGAGAUGGCAGAGGGAAAAGAUGGCGGAAGGCAUCUUUUACAGCGGUUUUCCUGUAUGGUGGGUAUGGAACCUUUUCUCCACCCUUCAGUUCCACUUGUGAUGAUAUCUGUGUUACUCUUUGGUGUUUGGGGAAUUAGAUUUGUUUGGGGGUGCCGAAUGUAAAUUCAAGGUUGGCAUUGAGUGUGAAAAGAAGUGGCCAAAGGGGAUUGGAUCUUAGAUGUUCCCCAAAGACCCAUGUGUUAAAGGCACGAUUGCCAGCCUGUGGCCCUGGGGAGAGGGAGGACCUUUAGGAGGUGAGGCUUAGGGCAAGCAAGUUAGGCCACUGGGGCAGGCCACUGAAGGGACCCUGGUCCCCUCCUUUUUCCCUUCUUGCUUCCUGAUGGCUCUGAGGUGAAGAGACCUCCACCACACAUUUCUACCAUGAUGUGUUAUGCCACCACAGGACCUAAUAAUUGUGGACAGGAACCUCUAAAACUGUGUGUCCAAAUAAACCUUUCCUCCUCUAAGUUAGUUUAUCUCUGGUAUUUUGUUAUGGCAACAGAAAAGUGACUAACAUAGGGACCCUGCACAUAGUGAUAACCCUUUCCUAAAAAUGCAGUGACCUGCUUACUUAUGUAGAUCUCAUUCUUCACCUGAAGUAAAGUUGAAUUAUAUUGAGAGAACAGAUUAAUGUGGGUAUGGAUUCAUAUAGAAGCUGAUUGACAUAGACCUCUCCUUCUUCCUCCCUUGCUCCCGGAAAGAAAAGCUUAAGUUGUAUAACAAGACAAAUUAAAGGUAAAGAUAUAUGGGAUCUUGCCAAAUGGGGAGGAGGGGAAAGGAAAUACAGGUUUAGAGAAGCAGAAGAAGCCGUCCAUACCUCAAGACUGAUAUUCCUUUUAUCUAAAACACAGUGCCCCCCCCCCCAAAUUCAUGGCUAGAAGCAAGAACAUUUAAUUUGUUCCUGAGUUGGCAAUUUGGCCAGGUUCAGUGGGAACAGCAUGUGUCUCCCUCCACUCAGCUGAAGUUGUUGUAAGGCUGGGGCUGGGUCUGUUCUCCUCACUCACUCGCAUGUACUGGCUGUCGGCUGGGGCUGCCCAUGUGGCCUGGACUUCCUCUUCCCCAUGUGCCGGCUGGGGUCCCAGGAUGAGCAUCUUCCCAGGGGGAGAGGGCCAGGCAGAAGCUGAGACACCCUUUCCAACCCAGCCUGGAGAGUCGCGCUGCUUUACUUUGCACCUGUCCAUUGGCAGUGAGUCACCAAGUGCGUGUCUUCUCAGGCCGCGGUUAACAAACAGACUGGGUGGCUUAACCCAUGGAAUUUAUUUCCUGUUCUGAAGGCCACCAGACUGAGCCCACGAUGUUGGUGGGGCCUCUACCCUCAGUUUGAGGAUGGCCCUCCUCACCCCGUGUCUUCACAGGAUCUCCCCUCUGUCUGUCCGUGUCCUGCUGUCUCCUCCCUAUAAGAACAUGGAUCAGACGAGAUUUAGGGCCUACCCUAAAGACCUCGUCUAAACUGACCUCUUUCAAGGUCCUGUCUCCAAAUACAGUCACAUUCUGAAGUACUAGGGAUUAGGGUUUCAAUUUAGGAAUUCGGAAAAGGACACAACUGAGCCCAUGACAUCCAGCCCAGGCCAUAUUCAAAGGGAGAGGAAUAUUAAAGAAUCUGCACAAGUAUUUUAACACAACCACCACUGGGUAAGUGGCAGGGGUUUUGACAAGUCCUGUAUGUAGUUGACAGGUCCCUAGGCUCCACCCUCUGCCAGUACCCUUGAAAGGGUGUGGAAUCUCAGAGGUCAGUGGGAUAGUGGCUUUCAGGAAAGAUCCCUCAGCCCACAGGUGCGAGCAGCACAUGGUACUAUUCACUAACAGAAGGGCCACAGGUUUUAAAAAUCAGCAUUUGAGCCAUGAAGUGACUCAAAAAGACUCUUCUCCUGUUACCCAACCUCCAAAUAAGAUACUAGAUUCUGGCAUGAACGUAGGGGCUGGAAAGGCUCUCAGAAUCAUGACUGAGAUUGAAUUUCCCACCAACCUGAUGAGUGAGGGCUUAAGAGUUAGAUUUUAUUUAACUUGAAGUAAUGUGAUGUUCCUUCCAACUGAGCUGGGGACCAAGAACACGUGGGUUAUAGUAGAAAAGAAUUAUGUCGGCUUUUCACAUGAGAUAAUGCACUCAUCCAAAAACCAUUACAGUAAGAGUUAUCAGCUAACCUCCUCUAUUCUGACAGAUUCCAGCAGCUGCAGGAAUGGUGCAUUUCCCUGAAGAGUGACUGCCAUAGAUGACUCUAUUAGUCUGUUUUUCGUUGCUCUCACAAAAUACCUGAGCCUGAUUACUUAUAAGCAAAGAGGUUAAUUUAGCUCAUGGUUAUGGAGAGUCAAGAACAUGGCACCAGCAUCUGCUCGGCUCUGGUGAUGGUCACUGGGGCAGGACACUGAAGGGUCUCUGGUCCCUUCCUUUUUCCCUUCUUGCUUCCUGAUGGCUGUGAGGUGAAGAGACCUCCACCACCAUACACUUCUACCAUAAUGUACUGUGCCACCACAGACCCAAGGCAACAGGACCUAGUAACUGUGGACAAAAUCCUCUAAAACUGUAUGUCAAAAUAAACCUUCCUUCCUUUAAGUUAAUUUAUCUCUAUUUAUCUAUUUGUUAUAGCAAUAGAAAGUUGACUAACACAUGUUAUAGCCAGAGGCUAUAGCAUGGUUGCUGGAUGCCAUCAUAGUGGGAGGAUGUGUAAGAAGGAGAGAUCAUAUGGUGACAUGGGAGGCCAGAGACAUUCCAGCAAGCCUUGUUCUUUUUGUAACUCACUCUUGCAGGAACUAACUGAGGUCCUGUGAGAAUUACAUUCAUCGCUUCUGAGUAUUCACCUCAUGGUCCGAUUACCUUGCAUUAGGAUCCACCUCUUAGAGGUCUAACUGCCUUAACACUACCACAAUGAGGACCAAGCUUCCAAUGAAAUUUGGAGGAUACAUUCAAACCACAUCUGAACUUACAGCAGAGUAGUUUUUCAAAAAUCAAAUUAAGAUGUCAUUUUUAGCAUUCAAAUGAGUGGAGAAGUGGAGGACAGUUAGGGAGAGCUCACCCUGGGGAAGACCCCUGGGCAGGGUGGAUGUGUCCAUGUACCACUCACUCUCUUUCUGUCUUGCUCUCAAGUGUCCCACAGAACCGGUCACCUCUUUUCUAUACUUCUUGAAAUGCCACCAAUAAGCAAUUUAGUUAAACUGACACAUUCCCCCGGCAGGUUGAAGGGGUGAUCGUUUUGUUCAUUAAUUCUGUACCAGGACAUUUUGGUUGACUCAGGGACUCGUUAUCUGGUCCUUUAUUGGUUCGAGGGGCUUCAGUUUCAGCUGGUUAGAGGGUGUUGUGUUGAUGGAUGGGCUCAUUGGACCUACUUUCUUAGGAGCACAGAGACAAAACCUCCCCCUUCAUCUCUCAGGGGUUCAGAGUUUUGAUAUUUGUUUGUCCACCCAGAGUCACUUCACCAUGGUUGAUUUCAGAAAGUGUGAUACGGCCCAGAAAGAUGAUUCUCCAUGAGAGAAAAAGAUAUUGAACCAACGGUGAGAUGUGAGAAUGGAUGUUAUUCGGGGUCUACAGGAUGUAUUUCUAUUAUAUAUAUUUCCUCCUGUGGGUUGGGUCUGUGGCCCAACGGUUAUGGUACCACCUAGAGCAGGGGACCAACAUGACCUUCCACCCACUCUGGUAGCCUUGGGUCAAUUCCAAGUCUCUGGCCUUAGGACAAAUUGGAUUAGUAAAUACCAUCUGAAAUGAGUCACCUCAUUGCCUAUUCUUCUCCCGUCAUGCCAGUCUCCCUAAAGCAAAAUAUUAAUAAAUGCCACUACAUAAAAAUUAAAAUGUCUUUAUGGAAGGAAGCAAAUUCCACAAAGUCAAGAGACGAACAAUAAAGUGGUCGGUGAUAUUUGUGACACAUACAAUGGACAAAGAGUUAAUUUCCUUAUUUUACAAAGAGCUCAUACAAAUCGAUAUGAAUUAAAUAUGAAAAGGCCAAUUGAAAAAUGGGCAAAGGAUAUGAAAGGCAGUUUUUCAGAAAAACAAAUGCAAAUAUCUAAUAACUUUAUGAAAAGAAGUUUGACUUUCCUCAAAUUAAAGUCAUGCAAAUCCAGAUGACAUACCGCCAUGUUUCUGCUAUCAGAUGGGCGAAAGCUUAAAAAGUCUGUUAUCUUCAGUGUUGAUGAGUGAAGGAGAAAGCAGAUAUUCUCAUUCACAGUCAUUGUGCAGAGAACUGGAUAUAAUAUUUUAGCCAAGCAUUUUGAUAAAAUGGGUGAGUAUUUCUUAUCCCUUAUGCUUGGGACUAAAGUGUUCAAAUUUUAGAUCUUUUUUUCAUAUAUGGAAUAUUUGAAGAGACUUCUCUAUUGAGUGUUUCUAAUCUAAAAAUAUAAAGUCAGAAAAGCUCCAAAACCUGAAACUUUUGAACAUCAUGUUGAUGCUCAGAAGUUUCAGAUUUUGGAACAUUUUAUAUUAUUAUGUUGGGGUGUUUUAUUUAUAUCAAUCACGAUUGUAAAUUCAUACAUUCUUUGACCCAUGAGGAAGAGUGUAAAUCAUAAUGUACACUCAUGGACAUACAAUCUAACAGUAGAUAGGAGAAUACUCACCGCAGCAGUUUGAAAGGGGACAAUGGGAAAAGGUAUCAUUGGGGAUUUUUUUAUUAUAAUUACUGAAACAUCCUUAUGAUGGAAUAUUAUACAGUCACCAAAAGAAAGUACUAAACUACAUCCAAGCUAUUGAGGGAGAAAAGUAGUACAGAAUAGCAGGCACAAAACGGUCCCAUUUAUGUGAAUGAUAUACAGUACGUAUGCAUAAAACAUUUCUGGAAAUAUUUUUAAACAUGGGGAAUGGGGAGUCAAGAAGGGAAUAAGGCAAUUUUACUUUUUGUGACAUGUAUCUCUUUUAAAUUAACUUUUUUAUCAUUUGCAUAUUUUGCAUUUAUUUACUUAGUUUCUUUUUUUUUUUUUUUUUUUGGAACUCUUCCUGUAAUACACAGCCUGUUUACAUGAGUAUGCUCCAGGUGUACCUGUACUUACUGGGUAGGGUGUUGUGUUGUCUGGCAAAAGGUCUCCCUAAGUGGGACAACAUCAGGAAAUUGCUGGCCCAAUUUAGGAGCAUCAUGUGAGAUGUUGUGGGGAGAGGGGGCCCCGGGAAGCCGAGGUCCUCUCUGAACAAGGUGGAGCAUUGUUUUAGUUAGCUUUUUCAUUGCUAAGACCAAAACACCCAAUAAGAACAACUUAGAGGAGGAAAAAUCUGGUGCUCACAAUUUCAGAGGACUCAGCUCAUAGACGGCCGACUGCAUGGCUCUGGGCCCAAGUGAGGCAGCACAUCAUGGGGGACAGGCCUGGUGGAGGAAAACUGCUCAGCUCAUGGUGGGGCCAGGAAACAGAGAGGGAAUAGGACAGGGGCCACAGGGAAGGAGCACCCUUCCAGGGUACACUCCAGGGGCCCACCUCCCUAUAGCUAUCACCCAGUCAGUCCACUCAACCUUGGAUGGAUUGGUUAAAGUUACAACUCUUGCAACCUAAUCAUUUCACUUCUGAAUAUUUCUCUAUUAACAGGAUCUGUGGGGCCCCCCUCAUAUCCAGACCAUAAUGAACACAAGUCAGUGAACCAUCUGGAUUAGUACUGAAAUUUCUUGGUUUUUAUGGACUGGUGGGAUCUAGAAAAGCUUGGACCUCAAGGAUAAAAGUUAUCUCUCCAGCCCUCCAGUCACUGCCCAGUUCUGGUGAAAGUUUUAAGUAGAAUUGCUCCUAAACAAGCUGGGGCUGAAGAUAAAUAUGUUGUCCAUCAGUGGAAGGAAGCAGGACUUGGAAAAUAUUAGUUUGUGAGCACAAAACCCCAAAGAUAAAAGACCAGUUCUUGGAUUUUAUAGACAUCUUGGGAUUUAUUUUCUAAACAGUUGUGCUGGCCUGCACAGAGACAGGAUGAUUGGGUCUUGUAGUGAGAUUCUACAAGACGACAUCUCAGAAUGCAGAGAUUUGGCUUCAGAUUGCUUUUCCAGCAAGAAAAGUGAAGCCCCAUCCUGUUGGCGAUUCAUCUUGCAGUUGUGGAUUGAAGUCGCUGAAGAAGUUGCAUUUAUAUGAAACAUCCUAAAGACUACUCUAUCUUGGAUGGUGAUUGUGGAGAGAUAGAAUGCUGCAGGUUAAGAGACAAAAUUUUCUUGGACUAUCUUAACUCCUUGAAUAGCCAUUUACCUUAACUUAAAAAAAAAAAAAAAAACUAAUCCCACAUUCUUGUAAAUAAUAGAUGAGCUUCUAAGAAUAUAUCUCUAUAUGCAAACCUCCAGUGCCCACUUACCCUAAAGCUAAGGCUGUUGAAAGAUUCCAUCUGAAACCAUAGAAGAGAUGCUCUCCUUUCUGUAGCCCCCCACCUCAAGCUCCUACCAGUGUAAUUGGUCAGUUUAUUAAUUGAUUGAUGACCUUUUUUGAUGAUUAAAGUUCAUGUAACUUUUAUAAGUUCUUCCAUGAUGGCCCAUACAUUCAGGAAACUUGAAACCAUCUUCCUGGGCCAUGGUAAUUUAACAUGGAAAAUUAAUAUGGUAAAUUAGCAUGGUAAUUUAACAUUUAACUCAGAAAUAAACAACUUUCUUAGUUCCUACAAAGCAGUCUUCCCUCCCUCCCUUCCUCCUCCUCCUCCUCCUCCUCGUCCUCCUCCUUCCUCCUCCUCCUCCUCCUCCUCUUCCUCCUCCUCCUCCUCUUCCUCCUCCUCCUCUUCUUCUUCUUCUUCUUCUUCUUCUUCUUCUUCUUUUCUCUCUCUCUCUCUCUCUCUCUCUCUCCCUCCCUCCCUCCCUCCCUCCCUCCCUCCCUCCCUCCCCACCUCCCUCUUUCUUCUUUGUUUGACACAGUCUCACAGCCAAAGUGUGUGGCUUCAUAGAUAGUAUAAUAGUUCCAAAUGAACUCAAGUGUUUUAGCUCCAAAUCUCAUGAACUCUCAUAAAUAACAGUUCUCAAACUUUAACAGGCAUCCGAAUUGCCUGGAAAAGAGUGUUGAAAGAAAUGGCUAUCUGGGUCCCAUCCCCAGGGUGUCUGAUUCAGUAGGGCCCAGGGUGGGAUUCAGAAUUUGUAAGUUCUCAAAUGACACUGUUGGGUCUUAUGAACACACGUGGAGAACUUCUGGUUUAUAAAUAUACUUCACCAAUUUUUUCCCCUCUCUCAUCGACAAUGCGCACAUCCUUCAGUCUCAUGCUCACCUAACAACCUGCCUAAAAGACAUCUUUAAUGAUCACUGAGACUUGAAUCCCCUUCUCCUUUUCCUAACACCAAAGAACUCCUUUGGCAAUGGCAGAAGCUUCCUUGAAAGGGUGUGCAGGAGAAAACACUGAACAGGCAAAACCAGGGGCCUCUUUUGCAGUCAGAGAGAGAACUGAGAAUAUCCCAGGGUUAAUUUUUGUGGUCAUCUAUCUUCCAUCAGGGUCUGGGGCACUGGUGGUAAGCAGGGAUGGGAGUGGGGGAGGGGAGGGGCUUUGGUCUCUGAAUCUCCCUGUGGCUGCUUAAGGAUGGGGGUAUCAGAGAAUCUUGGUGGCCCCAUUCCCAGAAGGAGAAAAACAGAAAUCUCCACUGUUUGUUUUUAGAAGCCAGUGGGGCCUGGCUUCCUGCAGAGCCGCUCACAGCUCUUCUUUCUUGCUUUUUAUUCUCCUCCCCUGUACCUCCUGGGGGAUGAUUCCUUUCAUCCAGGGGCUGCCUUCUGAAGCAGCACACCAGGCCACACACACAGUGAUUAUCCCAGAGGGGCCCAGGACCCCUGGGGCAGCAGGAGCAAGGGAGUAUUUUUGUUGGACAAUGAUGGAAAUUUUCUUUUUCCUCUCCAUUUCCCUAGUGGAAAAUAUAAGAAGACAGGAAAGAAGGGAGGAAGGAGGAAGGAAGUCAAGAGAGAAAGAAUCAGGUUCAGAGUGUAGAUAGGGGGUAGGGCUUGAACAUACCCUGUUUAAAAAAAUGAUCCCUCCUCCUUCUCUGGGCAAUACUAAUCUCCUAGGUAAAGUAGCUUUUGCUCAAAUUUAAAAGUACUUUUCUAAAAAACAAAAUCCAAAACAAAACUAAAAAAAAAGGAGACUCAGCCCAGCUGUUAAACCAGUGGUUUCACAGAGCAGUGUUUCUUACAUCUUGAGGCCUAAAGGAGUCCUCAUUGUUUUGAAGAUAGCCCUUUAUCCAACACAGGCGAGAAGCCUGAAACUGGAGGUAAAACUUUCUAAGACAGAAAAUAUUUAUUCUGUGGUGCUGACCAAGGCCAUCCACUGCAGAGAGCUGGGUUGCUGCAGGAAGACCCACAUUAUAAGCCAGGUCCUACUGCCUACCAGCUCUCAAGGGGAUUUCUAAGGAAGUGUACUCUUCACUCAAUCAACAAGCAUUUAUUGAGCACCAACUCUUGUGCUGAAAUUCAAAGAUAUAGACAAUAUCAUUCUGUUCCCAGGGGAUUUGAAGUUCAAUAGAAGAGAUGGAUAAAUCUACGGAUAAUUACAAUAUAGCUAUAAGAGGGGUGGGAAACAUGUUGUGUUCCAGCAGCAUGCAAGGGGGCCGUAGCAUCAGUUUGGUUGGAAGAGGUUUCCUGGAAGAGGCUAUAGUUGAACUGAGCCUGGAACAAGGAGUGGGAGGGGUUGGGGGCCCAGAAAGAGCCUCCUAAGCAGAGAGAAUAGAAGGCAUGUGCUCCAGGGCCCUGAAAUUGCAUAAAUUACAGAGGGAAUUGCAAAUUGUGUUGGAUCACAGGGUCUCUGGGGGUGUGAUGUGGAUAGGGUCAGGUCACAGAGGCUCUGUGUACUGAGGCCAAGUUUCAAUUAACCAAAGCUGCAAAGAGAAAUUUUGCAUAAUUAGUUAUAAUAAUAAUAAUUACAAUCAUCAUCAUGAUAACUACAUUUAUUGAGCCCAUCCAUGGCUAUCAUUUAACUCUCAUAACAGCCUCAAGAGAUAGGUACUGAUAUUCCACCUGUUCAAACUGAUGAGGAAUUUGAGGCUCAGAGAGGAUCGGCAACUUGGAGAUGUGCUGGUGAGAUUCCCAACCCCAUCAGAUCCCGAAGCACCUUUUAGUGACUGAUAUUUUUUUAAAUUGCCUUAUUAAUAUGAAAUAAAAUUCAAACUGAACAGAAUCCAUUUUAGAACAUACUUAAAAUAUGUAUAAUGCCCAUCUGUAACCUAACUUAAAAAUGAAGAAAAAUAAUUUAGAAUAAAAUAAUAUGUAUUUCCAUAUGGGAGCAGUCAGACCUGACUGUUCUAGAAACAAAAUAGUCAGUGGUUGAACUUAUAUAUAGACUCACCUUAAAUGCAAAGCUGCAGAUGUAGACAGAUACCUGUGUGUUGAAGGAAUGAAGUCUACACUAUGAGCAUCGAGGCUGAUGGUAAACCCAUCGUUUUGAAAAGGUGAUGCAUCCUUGGGAAAGUUCUGAGUCACAAACUACAAAGUUCCCUCAAAGACUGAUGGCAGAACUGCAGUGUGGACCUCUAUCAGCUAAUCCAAAGUUUAGGAUGAUUGCUUCCCAUGGAGAUGACUUCAUAUCUCAGGGGCACCAGGGCCAGACUGGGAGGGGUCUGGAAGAACUCUGGGAGAGCUGGGUGUGGCUAUGCAGAGUCCCAUCUGUUCCCCCCCACCACCACUGGAGUUUGCAAUGUUGAGUUGUUUGCUUGCUUAAUACUGUAUUUUUCCCAAUGAGUGGGAUCUCUUCAGUUCUGGGCUCCUGACUGAGUUUUCCUGCUCCUGCCAUGGAGAUUUCCAAGUCUUUUGACAAGUAUGCAUCAGAACUCCAGCCCCAUCUACAAGUUCUGCUGAUGGAGCACAUAUAGCACGGCCUGUCAUACUUAAUAAGACUCCGAAAAUGACAAAUUGUUCAUCAAUUGUCCAAGCAUUUGUCAAACCUCUAUUUUGUGUGUAUGAUCUAUUGUUUCUAACAAACCACUAUAAACCUUAGUGUCCUAAAGUCCCUAAACCCUAUGGGUUGAACAAUAUGUGUUUCUCCUUGAUAUGGUGUUUGGUGGGGCACUUAUUUACCAGUUGAUCAACUAAGAGCUUUAUUUCUCCUUUAUGUAAGCCCCUCCACAUAGUUGCUUGAGUUUCCUCACAGUAUGGCUGCUGAAUUCCUGAAAGAAGCUCUCUAAGAACAGGCAGAGGCUGCAGGUCUUUGAAGGCACAGCUCUAGUGUUACACAGCACCACUUCUGCAGCUUCCUAAUGGUCAAAACAAGUCACAGGGUCAUCCCAGAUUCAAGGAGAAGUGAAAUAGACUAUAUCUUUUAGUGAUUAGUUGGAAGGAAUGUAUGGUCCUCUUUACUUCACCAGAACCUACCAUAUACCAGGCACUCCUAUCUACCUCCUCUUCAAGAACACUGAUGUUUCAUGUUAGUGAAUGUUUCUGGGUGUGUUUUGUGUAUGUACAUUUCAGAGUCAUCUUAAUACUGUGUCUAUAAAGCUUAGAAUAAUAUAUAUAUAUAUAUAUAUAUAUAUAUAUAUAUAUAUAUAUAUAUAUAAAACAUAACACAAGAAGAAGUGGUCAAUCAGCUACACAAGUAGAUAUGUACAUAGAGAGACUCUGGAUGGAAGUUCUUGAUGCCAUACGAGCCUGAAUCAGGGGCAUAAAGCCAUAACCUAGAAAAUCAGAAAAAAAUCUGAUAUAGUAACAUUCAAGCUGAGAUCUGAAGAAUCCAUGGAGCUAUUUAAGUUAUAUGUCUGCAAUGGACAUAGUAUAUCCUCAAGUAAUAUUUGUUGAGUGAGUGAAUGAAUCUUAGCCAUAUUAUGACAGUCUGAGCCAAGAAAGUCAGGGGUGCUGGAGAACAGAGAGGAUGGAGGGUUUUGGUGUGAAGUAAGUUCAGAGGAGGAUAGAUGUGCAGAUGCUGGUGUUAAGUAUGUGGGUCUUCAGCCCUCGAGUAAUGGAUUUGAAGCCAGAGCAAUUUGGUUCAGUAAGGUCUGGGCUUUGAGAAGGUCGUCUGACUGUAAUGUAGAGAAUGAAAUGUUUGGAGGCGUAGGUGGUGGGUGGGAGGAGCAGAGGUUGAAGGGAGGAGGGAGAUUGGAGGGUGCUAUGUAGUGGACCAUGAGAGUGGUGUAGGACACACCCACCAAACCACAGGGAGUUAGCAAGAACCCUGCAGAGCAAGGUCAGAACACUGGGAAAGAAAUGGCUCUUUAGUGGUGGCCACUUCCUCUACUGCCCCAGGAGACUGUGGGAAUCUCUCUAUAGACUGGACCAACCAGCAGGGCUCUGAGCCCUGGAGGUAAAUGGAGACACCCUGGAGAAAAGGCAAAGAAGUGAAGCAAGCAAAACUCGCUACCUCUCAGAGCUGCCAUUCUGCCCAGGUACUGCGGUGCCUUCUCCACCUCAGGCUCUGUAGAGGAUUAUUGAUUUCUGCUGCUGAGAAUAUAACUUUAGCACUUGCUUUCGGGCCUCUCAUUUUAUGCCGUUCUUGAGACCGUGGCUUUGAAGAUCGAUGGCUCUGAACAAGACAGAGGAGAGGAGAGCGAGAUUUCUCCACUCAAGCUUACGCUGUCUCAAGGUGGUGCAUGAAUCACUGUCAAGUCCCUGGACACAGGAGCCACAGAAAUAAGGGCCAUGCAUUUAGGAUUCCCCAUAGGUGGCCUUGCAAGAGUUUUGCAUUUAUGAUUUUUAUUGUGGAAAAUUUCAAACAUUCAAAAGUAGAAUAGUAUAGUGAAUCCCACCAUCAUCUCCAACCAUUGAUAACUCAUGGCCAAUCAUGUCUCAUCGGUAUCCACAAACUCUCUCCUCCUGCAUUGCUGAGGCCAACUCCUAGGCUCCACAUGAUUCCAUCUGUGAAUGUUUCAGCAUGAUUCUCUAUAAGAUAAGGGCUCUGCAAGAGUUAAAAAUCUUAGUGACCUAAAGUAUUAUUUUGGACAAUGAUCCAUAUAGGAUGGUGGUCCAUAAGAGUUCAGUGGAGAUGGAAAUCUCCUAUUGCCUGGUGACAUCAUAUCCAUCCUAAGGUCAAGGUCGCAGUGUAAUGCAUUACUGUUUCCAUGGUGAUGUUGUGUAAACAAACCUGUCAUGCUGCCAGUAGCAUAAAAGGGUAGCAAUAUGAUUUAAUUAUAUUGCAUAGUACAUUAAGAUUAUAUGGUACAGUAAUAAUACUUGAUAAUGAUAAUAAAUGACUAUGUUACUGGUUCAUAUAUUUAUCAUGCUAUACUAUUUUUAUUGUUAUUUUAGAGGAAUGAUUUUUACUUAUUAAAAAAAGUAAUUUUUUUUACAUUACGCUCAUAGCAGCCUCAUGCCUACCAUGUACUGCAUCUUUUGAUCAUAUCAAGAGGCCAUACAGAGCAAAAGCCUUCUAUCAUCUGGGUUUGUGUUAAGUAUACUCUGUGACAUUGACACAAUGACCAGAUCGCCUAAUGCACUUUCCAGAAUGCAUUCCUAUUGCUGAAUGAUGUGUGAUUGUGUUUGUAAUUAUGAUGUAAUUUAUGUCGUGAUUUAUUAUGGUGACUUCUUUUUUUUUUUACCAAUACAAAAGUAUUUUAAUUUUUAAAAAUAUAUAACUGAAAUUAUUAUUAAUUUUAAGAUAAAGGCACUUGGCUUCUUUUCUUUUCUGUUGCUAUUAACUUUUUUUAAAAUUUAUUUUUUAAAUACAUGACAAUAGUGGAAUGCAUUACACUCAUUAUUACCCUUAUAUAGCACAAUUUUUCGUAACUCUGUAUAUAAAGUAUGUUCAUGCCAACAUGGUGACUUCUUCAUGUUAUCAAAUAGUUAAUAGAUAUUUGUGCACUUCUCAAUCAUCUUGUAAAUGUUGUUGUUGCUUGUUUUUAUUUGUUCAAUUGAAUCAGAAUUCAUUUCUAAUGCUGAGAUCCACACCUUAAAUUGAUUUCUAGACCUCAUAGGUCCUUGGUAAUCUAUAGAGUCUCCCUAUGUCUCUCUUGUUUGGCAAGUAUUUUGUAGAAGAAAGUAGGUGGGUUGUCUGGUAAAAUUUCCCACAUCUUGAUCUUGCCGAUAACCUCUUUGUGGUGACAUUUAACAGAUACCUUGUCCCCUGUGUUUCCUGUUAAGUCCGAGUUGGAUGUUGAAUUUUGAUUAAAUUCCUAAUCAAUGUUUUCUGGCAAAGCUACUUGGUAGCCGGAGCUCUGUUCUUUCAUCAGGAGAUACACAGUGUCGACUCUCUGCAAUGGAAGCCGUCAUCGAUCAUUGCUUAGACACAUUAGUUCAUUAGGGAUUGCAAAAGGGUGAUGAACUAAUUCUACAGUCUAUCUUUAAAAAAAUAUUAUUAGCCAGAAUGCUUCCAUACAGAGAAACUUUCCGUCAUUAACUACUUGGUUAUGCUGAGGCAUUGUUCUUAUAGAUAAACAUGAUUAAUGUUCAAUUCUUUCCCUUUGUUUAACAAUUUUCCAAGUAAUGUGUUGAUUCUGUAGCAAUCUCUAAGGAUGACUAAUGAAUGUUUUUAAAUAUCAUGGAUUAAAAGAUAUUAGAUGUGGAUUUGAAAGUUAUUAAUGCUCAAGUGAUUCCAUCCUUGGCCAAAGGGAGCCUCUUCAAGUUUCCUCCGGAAUCCUUUGACACAAUCCUAGUAGUCUUUGAUGGCUUUCCUUGCUUUCUGGUGUGACAAAUUCUUCAUUGGUACAUUUCCUGCUUUGGACAUCAAAUCAGUCAUUUCUCCAAGGAGCCCCGAACUCUCUUUGAGAAAUGCAUUUAGAGAUAGCAAAUCUAGGCAAAUGAGUGCUCAAGUGUUUCUGCAUGGCUGUUUCCAGAUACUUCCUGUGAAUAGAACUAGGGAAUAUGUAUCAUGCGGAUAUGUAUCGAACAGAUAUUUUCUAUUCAAAUUCAGGAUUAUGGGAUUUUAGCCACUGUCAUCUAUCUUACAUUUGUAUUUCUUUUCUCCUAUCUUGAAAUUCCUGGUUUUCAAUGUCACCCACAAAAUCAUUCAUUUGAUUUAUAACAUGCUACACUCACAAUGGCCCCAGAAUAGUGCCAGCAUUGUCCCUAACUCGAUUAAUAAAGACAAUUUGUUUCUCCAGUUCCUUUCUUCCUGAGGAUAUAUCUUAGUAAGAAUGUACAGCCAAAUAACUAUGAUUUACACUUCAAAUAACUCCUUUGUAUUUGAUUAUAUCAAUGACUAGUUAGUUACAUUUCAUUUAACUUGGAGUUUACAGGGAGUACUUUUAAAAAUGAGAUAUAUUAAAAGAAAUCCCUGUCCUGUCUACUCAAUAGCUUCUUCUCCCUAUAAGGAACCACUUACAAAUUUAAAAUUUUUCUUUCUACUGCAUGAAUAUAAAGACAUUACGUAGAUAUAUAUAUAUAUAUAUAUAUAUAUAUAUAUAUAUAUAUAUUUAGAUAAGUUGUACUCACAACUUCUCCUUGCUUAAAAUGUAGUAUAUUAUACACAUUAUUUAACAUUUGGCUUUGUUUUAAGCUAAUAAUAUAUCCUAGAUCACACACACACACACACACACACACACACAUACAAACCGGUUUCUCUAAUCCCACCCAUGCCACUUAGCUGUGUGAUCUUGGGCAUGCAACUUAACCUUUUUGAGCUCUCUUCUCAUCUAUAACAGUAGAGCAACACUGUUUCCCUCCCAAAGUCGUCCUGGAGGUUACCUGUGUCAGCACUAACAUAGUGGGUAACACAUAGUAGGCUCUCAAAUUUUUAUAGAUGCCAUAAUAUUUAAUAAUGUUUAUGUGCCUCCCAUUUCAUUUCCUAUCAGUGUGUCACAGUGAAGCCUAAGAGGGCUGGUUGGGGAAACUAAGAGUCAUUGAAAAAGAACUCAAAGAAUUAGAAUGUUAAGACUGGCAAGAGCCCGUAGAGACCUAGGUAGUUAUCCCAGUUAUUUUACAGAGAGAAAAAUAGAGACCCAGAGAGGUGAUGUGAUAGGCCCAAAGUCAUAGGUCAGGAUGGGAAGGGUCUGCUGGGGAUGCCAGUCCAAUUAUUUUUCAAGAUCAGUUUCCUUUAAAGCCAAGCUCAUCUUCUGCACUUGUUUCUCUGCACACCACCACCAUUCUCUGUAAAAGGAGAAGCAGGGUGAGGGACAGGUCAGGGAAACUGCCUUCAAUAAGAGCUCCCUUCCUCCCUCCCCUCCUCCCUCCCCUCCUGGGGAUUCUGUGAGGAGGGCUGGUGCUGGCACUGAUCCCUAUCUUUGAGUCAGGGCUCAUUAAUACACCCAGUUGGGGACUGUGGCCAUAAGCAAGUUCUAGAAACAGCUUCUUGCCCUCAGGGGGCUUUCAAGCUAUUAAAACAACUUCAAGCUCAUUUAAAAACCAAAUAUGGCUGUAAAAAUAUAUGUCAGUGUUUAAAAUAGUAAUGAGUUUGAGUGGCAUUAUCUUAUUUUCAUUACCACAACCCUAGGAGACUGCCAGUAUUAUUGCUUUCUCUCUUAUAUAUCAGGAAGAGAAAAAAAAAAGGCUUAAGUAGAUACUGCAGCUUUCUCAAAGUCAUGCAGCUGAUGAGCAGCAAAACUGGAUUUGGGUUUGGGUCUGACUCCGACUUCCAUGCUGCUGAUCAGAUGCCAAGGGGACGAUGGAACAUUUUCACUUCCACUUGUUUGAGACAAAGAGAAGGAAAUAAACAGGGUAUUCUGGGGUAGUGUGAGGUCGUUCCAUGUUUAAUUCAUCCAUUCAUUCAUCCCUUCAUGCAUUCUUGCCCUAAAAAUCUAAACUUUAAAGACUGUCUGGGUUUGGGGGUGGGGAUGUGCUCAAGCGGUAACGCGCUCGCCAGGCAUGUGUGGGGCGCUGGGUUCGAUCUUCAGCACCACAUAAAGUAAAGAUGUUGUGUCCACCUAAAACUGAAAAAUAAAUAUUAAAAAAAUUCUCUCUCUCUCUCUCUCUCUCUCUCUUUCUUUAAAAAAAAAAAGACUGUCUGGUUUGAAUCCUGGCACUAUCCCUUACUAGCUGAGAAGGUAACUUAUCUUCUCUGUGUCUCAGUUUCCUCAUCAGUGUGAUGGGGAUAAUUGUACCCACUUUAUGGGCUGUUCUGAGAUUUUAAUGAGUUCAUACAUUAAAGCAGUUAAAAAUGUGCCAUAACCCACUUGUAUCAAAUGUAUGAAAUAUGAUAUGUCAAGAACUAUGUAAUGUUUUGAACAACCAAUAAUAAAAAUUUAAAAAAAUA
rnacentral:lncRNA from 1 species